UACGGAGGGUGCAAGCGUUACUCGGAAUCACUGGGCGUAAAGGACGCGUAGGCUGUUUAGCAAGUCAGAUGUGAAAUCCAAUGGCUCAACCAUUGAACUGCAUUUGAAACUGCUAGACUAGAGUAUGGGAGGGGGAGAUGGAAUUAGUGGUGUAGGGGUAAAAUCCGUAGAUAUCACUAGGAAUACCUAAAGCGAAGGCGAUCUCCUGGAACAUUACUGACGCUAAGGCGUGAAAGCGUGGGGAGCAAACAGGAUUAGAUACCCUGGUAGUCCACGCCCUAAACGAUGAACACUAGUCGUCGCGAUGCUUGUCAUUGCGGUGAUGCACUUAACAGAUUAAGUGUUCCGCCUGGGGAGUACGGUCGCAAGAUUAAAACUCAAAGGAAUAGACGGGGACCCGCACAAGUGGUGGAGCAUGUGGUUUAAUUUGAAGAUACGCGAAAAACCUUACCUAGCCUUGACAUUGAUAGAAUCUUUCAGAGAUGAGAGAGCGCCCUUCGGGGAGCUUGAAAACAGGUGCUGCACGGCUGUCGUCAGCUCGUGUCGUGAGAUGUUGGGUUAAGUCCCGCAACGAGCGCAACCCUCGUCCUUAGUUGCCAGCAGUUCGGCUGGGCACUCUAAGGAGACUGCCUUCGCAAGGAGGAGGAAGGUGAGGACGACGUCAAGUCAUCAUGGCCCUUAUGGCUAGGGCUACACACGUGCUACAAUGGGGCGUACAGAGUGUUGCAAUACCGCGAGGUGGAGCCAAUCACUUAAAGCGUCUCUCAGUUCGGAUUGUUCUCUGCAACUCGAGAACAUGAAGCUGGAAUCACUAGUAAUCGUAGAUCAGCAUUGCUACGGUGAAUACGUUCCCGGGUCU
rnacentral:rRNA from 1 species